rnacentral:rRNA from 1 species
UGGGGGAUAUUGCACAAUGGGCGAAAGCCUGAUGCAGCGACGCCGCGUGGGGGAUGAAGGCUUUCGGGUUGUAAACCUCUUUCGCUAUCGAACAAGGCCCGCUUAGGGUGGGUUGAGGGUAGGUGGAGAAGAAGCGCCGGCUAACUACGUGCCAGCAGCCGCGGUAAUACGUAGGGCGCGAGCGUUGUCCGGAAUUAUUGGGCGUAAAGGGCUUGUAGGCGGCUUGUUGCGCCUGCUGUGAAAACGCGGGGCUUAACUUCGCGCGUGCAGUGGGUACGGGCAGGCUUGAGUGUGGUAGGGGUGACUGGAAUUCCAGGUGUAGCGGUGGAAUGCGCAGAUAUCUGGAGGAACACGGAUGGCGAAGGCAGGUCACUGGGCCAUUACUGACGCUGAGGAGCGAAAGCAUGGUAGCGAACAGG